rnacentral:lncRNA from 1 species
AUUAUUAUUUUAUUUAUUGUAGUAAAUGUUGUAUGCAAUUUCUUUUAGUUAUUUUUUUAAGGAGUGGCUAAUAAAAGUUUGCACCUAAGUGGCAAAUACUCUUGGCAUGCUCCUGAAUUCCUGUUUUCUGUUUUAACAACAAAAAUAUGUUCAUUGCCUUCAUUCAAAAUAAAAAAAGUUAAUACUAGAAACUCCAAUAAGUAUUUGUCUUAUAUUAUAAAUUUACAUCCUUGCUUCUCUAAACAUUGAUGAGAAUUUGUAUCAACAAUAACCAAAAGUCAGAUUGAUUCUGUUGACAAAACGUCAUCAAACAUGCAAGAAUUGAGGUAGGGGAAGUUUGUCCUUAUAAUAAGGAAUAUAUGUACUGUAAACAGAAAAUGCCUUACUAGCAUAAAAUUUCAUAUUUCAUAUGCAAGGUUAUUAAAUCUUGGGAACCGAAAUCUUAUACAGAUUAGUUAUAACAUUUAUAUUAUUUUUAGAAAAGAUAUUCAUCUGAUUACCAUUUUCUAACAUAAAAUUAACAAUUUGUAUCCUUUACAAUUAAUUUCUUGUACUUGGCCUUAUAAUACAAGAAAUUGCUAUUAUAAUGCUGAAGGUAAAGUUAUUAAACUCUUAGUAUUAUAUUAAAAGUUAUUAAUAUUUAAAACUAAAUUAUACACAGAGUGUUCUGUCAUGGACUUUACAUUUCUUUCCUGCACUAAGUUGUGGGGCAUUUCCAUGACCAUAGUGGAUUGUCCAAAUCCCUGGUUGGGUCAGCCAUCAGAUGGAGGAUGGGAUUCAACAAGUCAGACUCAGAUCCAUCUUGAAAAAAUCUGGAGGUAUGGGGCUUGGGAAUUAAACUCAUAUUCUCCAAAGUGGAAGCAAAACUGCUUCAACUGCAGCCAUCUGGUCAAGUAUACAGG